rnacentral:rRNA from 1 species
ACGGAGGGUGCGAGCGUUAUCCGGAAUUACUGGGUUUAAAGGGUGCGUAGGCGGCUGUGUAAGUCAGUGCUGAAAUAUCCCGGCUUAACUGGGAGGGUGGCAUUGAUACUGUGGAGCUAGAGUACAGAUGAGGUAGGCGGAAUUGACGGUGUAGCGGUGAAAUGCUUAGAUAUCGUCAAGAACACCUAUAGUGAAGGCAGCUUACUAGGCUGUAACUGACGCUGAGGCACGAAAGUGUGGGGAUCAAACAGGA